AAGAGAGAAAUGGGAGAAACUGCAAGAGUAGCUCAUUUAUAAGACAUUUUAUGUUUGUCCAUCGGAUAUGGGAAUUGAUACAAAAAAUAAAAUGCUUUUCAGAAAUUCAUAAUUGUAUAAUAGGUUAGUAAAAUCUAUAAAGAAACCUAAGAACUGAAAUAAGGCUUAAGAAUUCAUUAGCAACAACUUGUGACAACAUAGAUUCUAUUUACUAUGAAAACCAUUACAGUUUCAGCUGGCACUUGGAAAAAAAGAAAUAUUCCCCACAUAAUAAAGAUUUUAUCAACAGUAUGUUUCAAAGUUUAUGUUCACAGAUCUAUGCAUACUUUUUUUCCUCAAGGAGAAAAAAAAAACAGCAACCCCGCCUCCUUUAAAAGAAGUCUUUAUGUUAACUUACAUGACUUAUGGGAUAUACCUUUUAAAAUUGCCAGGACUCCUACUCCACUUUCCUAGUCUUCUAGUUCAGGACUGUGGUAGCUUGAACGUAACUGGCCUCCACAAUCUUAUAGGGAGUGGCACUAUUAGGAGGUGUGGCUUUGUUGGAGUAGGUGUGGCCUUGUUGGGGGAAGUGUGUCAUUGUGGGGUGGGCUCUGAGGUCUCAUAUAUGCUCAAGAUACCACCCAGUGUCGAAGCCCACUUCCUGUUGCCUUCUGAUCAAGAUGUACCAAGCACCACAUGCUGCAAUGCUCCCUGCCAUGAUGAUAAUGGACUGAACCUCUGAAACUGUAAGUGAGCCACCUCAAUAAAAUGUUUUCCUUGUAAGAGUUUUGCCGUGGUCAUGAUGUCUCUUCACAGCAAUUGAAACCCUAAGACAGAAGUGUUGUACUCGCUGGUUUUGUGUCAACUUGACACAAGCUAGAGUCAUCAAAGUGGAAGGAGCCUCAGUUGAGGAAAUGCCUCUAUAAGAUCCAGCUGUAAUUCAUUUUCUCAUUUAGUGAUCAAUGGGGGAGGGCCCAGCCCAUGGUGGGUGGUACCAUCCCUGGGCUAGUGGUCCUGGGUUCUGUAAGAAAGCAGGCUGAGCAAACCAGGGGAAGCAAGCCAGUAAGCAACACCCCUCCAUGGCCUCUACAUCAGCUCCUGCUUCUGGGAUCCUGCCUUGUUUGAGUUCCUGUCCUGACUUCCUUCAGUGAUGAACAGCAAUGCUGAAGGGUCCUCCUGAUGGCUCCUCCUGCCCACCGGCAAUCUGAGACAUACCAGUCUACCUACAUUUUCCAAUUAACCCAUCACUGAGCACUUCACCCAACACCAGCAACAACUGGUAAGUCCCCCUUCUCCUGGUCAGCAUAAACACUUCCCUGGAUCUGGGGAAGAGACUGUUGAGUUUCUAGCACCCCUCUGAUAUUCUUGGAGGUGGAGGGACCCCCAGCCACAGUCUCACUUGGACUCUUAGCCCUUGGCCCCUGCUCAGUACAUGAUGACUCACUGGACAGCUCGUGCCCACUCAAUCCAAUCCUCUCUGGAUCCCUGGGAUGCCAGGACAUUCAGGCUUUGGAUCUUCUUCCUCUACCUCACUCAUGGGAACUUCAUCCUCCACCAUACCUCCAAGCUCCCCCUGGAUACCUUUUGGAAAACCUCAGACACCUAGCACCUGACUUAAGGGCUUUUAAACUUAUCCGCCUUUCAGUCAAAUCUGGCCCCAAUACCCCUCAGAUAAUCAAUUCAGAUGGCCACCUACCAGCAUCCUAGACUUUGCAACUUCUGCCAGUAAUCAGGUAGAUGGCAGGGGGUACCCUGUGUCCAAGCUUUCUCUCAUCUUCACGCCAAGCCCUCACUCUGUUCUUUCUCUUCCCCCACUCAACUACUACUAGCUCUGAGGCCUGAAAUAGAGGAGCCUCCACCACUCUUGACCCUGCUAACGAGCCUCCACCACUCUUGACCCUGCUAACGAGCCUCCACCUUACCAACCUCAAUGCACAACUCCUCCUCUGCCAGCUCCUUCAGUCUCCUCUCCCUCCUCUCCAGCAAUGAUUCGCUCUAACCAUCCCACUCUGGCACCCACUUUCACUCCACCAGCAGCCUACAGUCCCCCUGUUACUCACUCCUACUGUUGUGGGACCCCCCUUUACCUCUCUCUAGCCAGCCUAACCUGGCCACAGUUCUCCCUUUGUGGGAGGUUGCCAGGGUGGAUGGCCUGGUCAAGAUACAUGUCCCCUUUUCAUUAAGUGAACUCUCUCAAACAGAAAACCAACCAAACAAACAAACUGGGGUCUUAUACUCUGCUUCUUUCAUUAAAGAAUUCCAAUAUAUCACCCAAGCCUACUUCCUCACCUUCUUAUAAUAAGCAAAAGAGAGGAAUGUUAGUUUCUGCCACUGCAGCAGAAUCAGCAGCAGCCCGCCUCUGUCGCCAAAGCAGUUCCGUCACUACCUGUCACCAGGUGCCUUUCCACUGUCAGCUGUGCGACAUGCACACCCUUUAAAAGCCAUCAGGCACAGCUUACUCUCUUUUUACCUCUUGUCUCCCAUUUCUUUUGCCUCUUUCUCCAUGUCUCUCCUUUCCUCUCCUGCCUCUUCUUUUCUCUCUUGCUUCUCUUCCUCUUGUCUGUUUGCCUCUGUCAAGCCCCCACUCCUACUUGGCCUUUCACACUGAUGCUCUCCCCCUCCCCCAAUAAACCUCGUGCACUAACUCUGUUGGGAGUGGUGUGUUUGCUUAGUGGCAUACCUUGGCAGGGCCUGCCGAAAGGUACCCACUAUCGCCUCGCUUUCUUUUUAUUUAUCCUUUCAUUGGUGCCGAGACAACAGGCUCUCCUGGCAUUUAAUAUGGCCAUGCUGGGACCCUAUCAAUCUGCAAUAGAUCCACUCUCUUCCACCUACAACAGACCUGCUUUCUCGUUCACCCACAGCUUUGCCUCCACUCAAUACUGGCAAUGAGUCUCUGGCGGUGUCACCUGCCUCUGACCAUUCCCCUAGAUGUGAGGCUUCAGUCCUCUCCUCCCCUUCUGGCUUUUCUCGAAGUCCUGGUACUAGGUGACCAUGUCUCUCAGGCUCGGAGCUCUUAGCCCCAUUCUUGUAUGACACCAUACUGAAUAGCCUGUGCCUGCUCUGUUUGGCCCUCCUCUGAGUCCUGGGGACACCUCUGGCUCUCAGGUUUUGAACUUCUCUCUGCCUCACCUUUGGGAACUGUCAUACACACCUCCUCGCACCAAUUGGGAUGUCUUUUGGAGACCCACUGACCACUCCUUUCAAAUCAAAUCUGGCCUCAGUAUAUCUUGGACCAAGCUGCCAGGGAACCAAGAAAGAAUUCUCCACUUUCUUUCUUUGUCUUUGCUCCAAGACUGCUUGUUUCUGUCUGCUCUCCCUCUCUAAACUUCAUAAAUGUCCUGUCUGUUUGCUGCAACAUGGGAGUCAGAGAGGCCAGCUUCGUCUUGCUCAGCACACACCGGUUCUUCCCUGCAGUAUCUGCUGAUCUAACCUUCAGUAAGGUAUGUACUUACUGUACUACAUUUGUCUGUGACUAACAUGUUUCCAAAUAUUAGAGUCUGAUUCUUCCUAUGUGGACAUGUGUGCUUGUCUGGCUUCUGCAGCCUACUGUAACCAUGUGGACUUCUCUUCUGCUCAUUCCCCUCUCCCAGCAGCCUGAGAGACCCACAGUUUAAGCACUAGCCUGCUGUGUUCUCCAUGUGACUCUGGCUCUUGCAGCCUGCUGACCUACGUAAACACCUCCCUUCUCUUCUGCUCCUUCCUGUUCUCACCUUGCAGCCAGACUGCAGAACCACUGUGCUAUCUGUUUCCUACCACAGUCCUGCAGCUCACUUCGACUCUCAGCCUCCCCUUGGAACACAGUCUCAGUGUUCCACUCUGCAACCCUCUCUCUCUUCCUCGAUGAACUCAGACUUUAUUACAACAUCUUGGCCUCAGCAUGAAUCAAUGGCCAAAAUUGGCGAACUUGAUUUCCAAAUUCUCAGGAAUUGUUAAUUGCUACUGCCACAAAUGAUCCCCAAAAUCUUACACCUAAACUUGCUCUUAUACUUCCAAAGUCCCUAACCUCUAAGGCUCUACUUCCCCACUCCUAAAAAUCUUUGAUCUCUGAUUUCUUUUCACUCUGCUCUCACACACACAAUAAAAUAGUAUCUUAAGAUUAUGCUGUAAACUCUUAUCUCAGGAUUUGUAAAUUACUCAUUGGGUAUGGUUUAAAAUAUAUAAUUUGUAACAAAAUUUGGCUUUAAGCUUACAACAAAAGGCUUAUAAUUAAAAUUCUAUACAUGGGUGUAUAUAUAUGUGAUUCAACUCCUGUUUAAGAUGUGUGUGUGUGUGUGUGUGUGUGUGUGUGUGUGUGUGUACACAUAUAUGACCUGGAUUUAACUCUAUAUAUAUGUGAAUGUAAGCUGGAUUUAACUCUACAUGUAUAUGUAUGUAACUUGGAUUCAACUCUGCAUAUAUGUGCAUGUAACUACUGUUGAGGAAAACAUGUUUUAAACAGUAACCAUGUGGCUCUCCUCCAUCUUGGCUGGUGACAUCAUGAUAUAAGCAGCCAUGUGGCUGGCAACCAUCUUUACUACGGUUAGACAGUACAUAUCAUGUGACACUUCUUAGUCCUAAUGAGCUCUCUGUUCAUUGUGUCUCCUUUGAGACGAAGGAAGCAACAAGUCUCAAAUAUUGGUAUGGACUUUUGAAUGAUGAUAGAAAUAUAAAGUUAUUUGUUACAACAUACUGUAUAUGUGAUUCAACUCUGGUUUAAAAUAUACUCUAUCGUGUUAAAAUUUUAAGAUUAUAAAGAUCUAUUCAGAUUAACAAAAGCUGACUUAGAGAUUUGCACCUAAGUACUCAUGUCUUUGCCAAGUGUUCAACACCAAGCUUCUAGAAAAUUUAGACAAGCGGCAACACAUAUUUGAUAAGUAAGAUAUAUGUUCUACAAUGGAGUUUCUGGUCCCCCUAGAGGGUCCUUUUCCCAGGGCUGGGCAUUUGGGCAGGGGCCCCCAUGGCAUGUCAAGGGCAAUGCUGGCCUCUGGGCUCCCUCAGUCCCUGCUCACAGGCCCCCUUUUCUCCUGUUCCCAUUUUGGUCCUGGGGAUCUAUCCCCUGUCAAUUUUCCUUGCUUUCUCAGGAGACAGCCUUAGCAGUUUGGAACAAACUUGUUCCAUUUUCACUCCAUGGAAUGGCUAUUUAGGUUUCUUUACUGAACCCACUAUCUAUGAUUAAAAAGUUUUAUUUUGAUAGUAAAAGAGCCCCAAUUCAAAAUUAGUUAUUUUUAAGGCUAAAUCUAACAGGGAUGGAAAAUGGAAUGUAAAAUCCUAUUCAUAUAAAAGCUAUUAACUUAUUGUAAACUGUUAAGGAUAAUUAAGAAAUGCAAGUUAAUGGUCAGCCACCUUAAUUAACAGGAAUGGAAUGUAAAGUCCUAGUCUUAUGAAAGCUGCUAAUGAAUUGUAGACUGUUAAGGAACAUAAGUUAAUAGUCAUCUUAUAAAUGACCAAAUUCUUUAAUUAUAGUCAUGCUAAAUACUAAUAUAAUUACAGGAAUAAGUCUUACUUAGUCUCCUGUGUUUUCAAAGUUAAGCUUAACAUAAGUAACUAGAAACAAAGUUUGUCUAUUCAGAUAUGCCUAUUAGAUAGACAGUCCUCAAAUGCUUUAGAUGUCUGAGAAUACGGCAUUUAAAAAUGUUUAAUAAAAAAGCUUUUCAUGAUAGAGAGACAUGCCAGCUCCUGGCAGCACUGCUAUCUCCUCCAAAGAAGAUGGAUGGGCACAGAAGAACCUCCACCUGGAGCUUGCUUUAAAUGUGGCAAAUGCCUGGCCACUAGGCAAAAAAAAACAAAAAACAAAAAACUGCCUUUCACCUCAACUGUUGCCAAGACCCUGUCUAGACUGUGGACAAUCAGGACAUUGAGGGAUCAACUGCCCCACUUUGCCUAGACUAGGUAGGCUGGUCCUCCCAACAUUCCUACUCCACAGGAAAGUCUGUCAGAUCUUCUAGAUCCUGGCAGCCGAAGACUGAUGCUACCCUGAGACCUCUGCCCCAACGACCACGGAGGAACCUGGGGUAGAUGUGGAGGUAGCCAGUAAGUCUCUGUCAUUUCUAAUAGAUUUGGUCUAUUGGUUUACACUUCUGCUUACUCAAGUAAAAGUUAUCCUUCUCAGAACUCUGAUGGUGUUUGACAACUAGGCUAGUAGCUUUGUCAGUUUAACAGCAGCAGCCAAGGCUUCAGCUGCCUUCUCAGUUCUCCGUGUGUGUAAAAUUCAGGCCACAGGCCUCUCUCUCCUAAAGCUACUACUAAGUCUAGACACAGUUUACCUUGAUACCAGACUCAGAAGAGACAAACUCACAGAACAGAUUUCAGUGUAACUUUUUGCCAUUCCUUUAUUGAAAGGAACUUGCUUUAUAAUGACUGCUCUCAGUAAUCAACCGCCUGUAUCUCCUGGUGAAUUAAAUAGAAAGGAGGUGUUUUAAGGUAUAGUGUUUCUGUGAAGAUAUGAAAGCUUAAGUUGAGAAUCUAAGAAAUAUUUUAGGGUCUAAGAAGGUGUUUUAAGGUGUGUAAAUGCAAGCUAUAAAUGUCUGAGAAUGAAAAAGCUUAAGUGGUGAUAAAAAGAAAGUGAUUUAAGGUGUAUAAAAAAAUGAAAUGUUUUGCUAUACUACUGUUAUAUUAAGACUCCAAAGUUAAUAGUCUUAACAUUAAUCAAGGAAAUUCUGAUAAGCUAUUAAUCUAGCUCUGGCAGAGUACCACUACUAUUAUCAGACACAAACUAAAGAUUUUAAAUUCUCUUUGAUUGUUUUCUAAGUAUAGAUUUAAAAGUGCUUCUCACCUGUGCUAAAAACAUCUGUCUAAUCUAUAUACAUCUAUAUACAUGGAUAGAGGAAAGAGUUAAUGCUUUGAACCAGAAUCAUUUUGGGGUCCCCUAUGACUCAAAGGCAUGAGUCUACUGCCUUUUAUACAAUGUGGAUUUCAGUACAGAUUACAAACAGUGGGAAUGCUAAUGUGUCUAAAACUUACCUCUUUUUGUAAACUCAAAAAAUUCUUGUAAGCUCCAGGGAGUCAACUUGAAUCCACCUCAGACAGGUUAUCAAAUGGACUCCAGAUAAGUACUGUCAAUCAACAGCCUAAGUUUAUCCACCUACUGCCUGUUCCUGAGGGUGGGAUCUCACCUACCUUCCCCUGGUCUUGGGACUCCACUCCCUUAAUUACUGGGACCUAAGAAAAAAUUUCCUCCCCAAACUUAACUGUAUCUUCUGCUCUGACAAUAUCUUGUCAGGUCCUCUCAAAAUCUGCAUUCACUGAGCCUGGACAGCAGUGAAACAGCCAGCUAUACCAGGACUUGGCCAGCAUCCCAUCCUUCUCAGAUCCCCUCAAGAUGCCAAUGCCCCCAGACUUCAGGAAGCAGUCUAGAGAACACGGUGCCCUCCAUUCCCACCUCACCAGCUACCCCUUCCUAUUUCCUCACCUUUUUAUACUAAACAAAAGAGAGGAUUGUUAGCAUUCAGGCAUUUACACUGGCCUGCUCUUAGGGACCUAGUAGGACAUGUCAUCAGCAACAGCCAAGAUGUGCCACUGUAGCUGCUGCAGCCAUUAAGUAGAGCACUCUUCCUAUGCACAUGUGCUAUAUCCCCAUUUUAAAGGUAGCCCUUCUCACCCACCCUCUCUCUCUUUCCUUCUGCUCUCACCCCCCCCCACCCCAAUAAACCUCCCACAUGAGAAAAAAAAAUGUUGAGAGGAGUGCAGAAGAUUGAGACCUGGCUUGUGAAAUUUCAGAGGGAAGAUUAAAGACUCUACCAGGGCUGUUUGCUAUUUUAAGAUUCUGUGGUUCUGGUUAGCUGGGGCUAAAGAAUCAGCUGUGAUUAACAAGAUACCAGAAUUACUAAAGUGAAACCUUUACAUUAUUGGGACAAUUGAUGCCAGAGCUAAGAAAUUAGUGGUGAUUAAGAGGAGACCAGCAUCACUGAGGUGAAAUCUGGAAGUGUUUCCUGAGAGCACAGAGAAGCAGUGUUUCAGAGGCAGCUAAAGUUGUACCUCGUGGUGGCAGCCAGACUUGGUAAUGUCUAAGUCACCCAGGUGGUACUAGUUUUGAAGGCAUGAAGGAGUCAUGGAGAGCAGCUGAGGCUUUGGCAAUAUGAGCGGCCAGGAGAGGUCGUUGGUGAGGCCUCAGUGGCAGUUGAAGGCCUAGGACUGAAGGGGUCAUAAAAAGGAGAUGAGGCUUGGCACCCUAAGGAGAGCCUAUGAGAGGCUGUUGAUGAAAGUGCAGCCCGGUUGCAGCAGAAGACCUCAGCAUUUUGGAGAUGCCAGUACCAUAGCAUGAUCACCAAGAACAGCAGCAGCAGCGGAGUGGAGCCAGCUAAAGCCUAGAAGACAGGCCAUAUGUGCUGCAAAGGGCAGAGCCAGAGAAGUGACCCAAGCCCUUUGCAGGAGUCCAGAAGAUCACAGUGAAUCCCAGAUAAUUGGACAUUGAGUUAUUUAUAUUGUUGGAGUUUGGUUUUGCUUCAUUCAGACUGUGACAAUGCCCUGGUUCUUCCCUCUUGAAGAAGGUAUCUAAUUUAAUUUUGAUUUUUAAAGGAGCCCACAGCUGAAAGACUUGAACUUUUAAAAGAGAUUGGAUAUUCUAAAGAGGCUGGAAAUGUAAUGUGUUUGAAUUUGUAAAGACUGUGGAACUUUUAAAGUUUAUUUAUGAUUUUAAUGUGGGAUCUUGGGGAUGAAUAAGAAAGAAAGGGUUGUGGCUUAAUAGUGAUGUGUUUGUGUGUCAAGUUGACAAGGGGUCAGUUGUACUGGCUGUGUUUGUAUGUCAACUUGACACAAGCUAGAGUCAUCAGAGGAAAGAGCCUCAGCUGAGGAAAUACCUCCAUGGCAUCCAUCUGGAAGAUAUUUUCUCAAUUAGUGAUCAAUGUGGAGGGGCCCAGCCCAUGGUGGGUGGUGCAAUCCCUGGGCUGGUGGUCCUUUGUUUCUAUAAGAAAGCAGGCUGAGUAAGCCAGGGGAAGCAAGCCAGUAAGCAGCACCCUUCCAUGGCCUCUGCAUCAGCUCCUGCCUCCAGGACCCUGACCUGUUUGAGUUCCUGUCCUAACUUUCUUCAAUGAUGAACAAUUCUGAAGUGUAAGCCAAAUAAAUUCCUCAACUUGC